rnacentral:rRNA from 1 species
AUGUGCGCGCCACCACUGCUGCUGCUCGUUGCCGUGCGUGGCAGGCGGGCAUCCGGGGAGCAGCAGGGCAGAAGUAGCGGCUCAUGGCCUCUACUGCUGCUCGUCGCCCGUGUUGUCCGCAGCUGCAGCUUCUGGGAGCAGCAGGGCAGAAGUAGCGGCUCAUGGCCUCUACUGCUGCUCGUCGCCCGUGUUGUCCGCAGCUGCAGCUUCUGGUGGCCGUGUGUGGCCAGUGCUGUUGCUUCUCACCCCAUGUGUUUUCACAAUAUAACUAUUCCUAUUUGUUGCUCCCUUUUGUACUUGCGAAUAUGUCAAGACCAUAAAUUUGAGAUGAGCUAA